CGCGGCCUAUCAGCUUGUUGGUGAGGUAAAGGCUCACCAAGGCUACGAUUGGUAGCCGGCCUGAGAGGGCGGACGGUCACACUGGGACUGAGACACGGCCCAGACUCCUACGGGAGGCAGCAGUGGGGAAUUUUUGUCAAUGGGGGAAACCCUGAACAAGCAACGCCGCGUGGAGGACGAAGACCCUCGGGUUGUAAACUCCUGUCGGAGGGGACGAAGGCUAUCGUGGUUAGUACCCACGGUGGUUGACGGUACCCUACGAGGAAGCCCCGGCUAACUCCGUGCCAGCAGCCGCGGUAAUACGGGGGGGGCAAGCGUUGUUCGGAAUUACUGGGCGUAAAGGGCGCGCAGGCGGGCGGGAAAGUCUCUCGUGAAAGCCCACGGCUCAACCGUGGAAUUGCGGGAGAUACUACUCGUCUUGAGUCCGGGAGAGGAGUGUGGAAUUCCCAGUGUAGCGGUGAAAUGCGUAGAUAUUGGGAGGAACACCGGUGGCGAAGGCGGCACUCUGGACCGGUACUGACGCUGAGGCGCGAAAGCCAGGGGAGCAAACGGGAUUAGAUACCCCGGUAGUCCUGGCUGUAAACGAUGAGCACUUGGUGUAGCGGGUAUCGACCCCUGCUGUGCCGAAGCUAACACAUUAAGUGCCCCGCCUGGGGAGUACGG
rnacentral:rRNA from 1 species